GACGAACGCUGGCGGCGGGCUUAACACAUGCAAGUCGAAGGAGAAGGGUGGUCUUCGGACUACCUGGAGACUGGCGCACGGGUGAGUAACGCGUAGGCAAUCUGCCCAUAGCAGGGAGAUAACCACUGGAAACGGUGGCUAAUAUCGCAUAAUGCAGCGGCCUCGCAUGAGGACAGUUGUUAAGGUUCCGACUUCGUCGGGGCGGCUAUGGAUGAGCCUGCGUGCCAUUAGUUAGUUGGUGGGGUAACGGCCUACCAAGGCGAUGAUGGCUAGGGGGUCUGAGAGGAUGACCCCCCACACUGGGACUGAGACACGGCCCAGACUCCUACGGGAGGCAGCAGUGAGGAAUCUUGCGCAAUGGAGGAAACUCUGACGCAGCCACGCCGCGUGCCGGAAGACGGCCCUAUGGGUUGUAAACGGCUUUUGAUUGGGAAGAACCGCCCCGUUUCGACGGGGCCUGACGGUACCAUUUGAAUAAGCACCGGCUAACUCCGUGCCAGCAGCCGCGGUAAUACGGAGGGUGCAAGCGUUGUCCGGAAUCAUUGGGUGUAAAGGGUGCGUAGGCUGGCGCCUAAGUCUGGGGUGAAAUCUUGCCGCUUAACGGUAAAAUUGCCUUGGAUACUGGGUGCCUUGAAUCUGACAGAGGUCGGUGGAAUUCGUGGUGUAGCGGUGAAAUGCAUAGAUAUCACGAAGAACACCAGUGGCGAAGGCGGCCGGCUGGGUCAGUAUUGACGCUGAGGCACGAGAGCGUGGGGAGCGAACAGGAUUAGAUACCCUGGUAGUCCACGCUGUAAACGAUGUAUGCUAGUUGUUGGGCCUUUGGGUUCAGUGACGCAGUUAACGCAGUAAGCAUACCACCUGGGGAGUACGUUCGCAAGAAUGAAACUCAAAGGAAUUGACGGGGGCCCGCACAAGCGGUGGAGCAUGUGGCUUAAUUCGAUGCAACGCGAAGAACCUUACCCGGGCUAAAUCUCCGGCGACCGCCCCCGAAACGGGGCUUCCCUUCGGGGCGCCGGCGAAGGUGCUGCAUGGCUGUCGUCAGCUCGUGCCGUGAGGUGUUGCCUUAAGUGGCGCAACGAGCGCAACCCCUGUGGUUAGUUACCAGCACGUAAUGGUGGGGACUCUAGCCAGACUGCCUACGCAAGUAGUGAGGAAGGUGGGGACGACGUCAAGUCAUCAUGGCCCUUAUGUCCGGGGCUGCACACGUGCUACAAUGGAUGGUACAGAGGGAAGCUACCGCGCAAGCGGAUGCAGAUCUCCAAAGCCAUUCCCAGUUCGGAUUGGAGUCUGCAACUCGACUCCAUGAAGGUGGAAUCGCUAGUAAUCGCGUAUCAGCAAUGACGCGGUGAAUACGUUCCCGGGCCUUGUACACACCGCCCGUCAAGCGAUGGAAGUCAGGAGUACCUAAAGUUGCCGUUCAACGCGGUACCUAGGGUAAGCCUGGUAACUGGCGCUAAGUCGUAACAAGGUAACCAAGGGCGA
rnacentral:rRNA from 1 species